rnacentral:rRNA from 1 species
GUCGAGCGGUAGAGAAGGAGCUUGCUUCUUCUUGAGAGCGGCGGACGGGUGAGUAAUGCCUAGGAAUCUGCCUGGUAGUGGGGGACAACGUUUCGAAAGGAACGCUAAUACCGCAUACGUCCUACGGGAGAAAGUGGGGGAUCUUCGGACCUCACGCUAUCAGAUGAGCCUAGGUCGGAUUAGCUUGUAGGUGAGGUAAUGGCUCACCUAGGCAACGAUCCGUAACUGGUCUGAGAGGAUGAUCAGUCACACUGGAACUGAGACACGGUCCAGACUCCUACGGGAGGCAGCAGUGGGGAAUAUUGGACAAUGGGCGAAAGCCUGAUCCAGCCAUGCCGCGUGUGUGAAGAAGGUCUUCGGAUUGUAAAGCACUUUAAGUUGGGAGGAAAGGUUGUAGCUUAAUACGCUGCAACUUUGACGUUACCAACAGAAUAAGCACCGGCUAACUCUGUGCCAGCAGCCGCGGUAUACAGA